rnacentral:misc_RNA from 1 species
AUAAUGUGCCCCGGCCUUUGUGCCGGCGGACUACACCACUGGUGACCGCCCCUCUCAAGGGACGGUUCAUUACUGUGUCCACCCAUUGUGAAACUUCUAUUUUGCUUCGGCAGCACUCUCAGCGGGCAACCGCUGGAGGGGUCAGGCUGUCAGAAGCCCAUAUCAAAACUAGUUGAUGAAAUGUCAUGCAGUCUGAUAAACACUAUUUGAGAAAUCAAAUUACGUUA